rnacentral:rRNA from 1 species
GACGAACGCUGGCGGCGUGCCUAAUACAUGCAAGUAGGACGCAGUUGCGUACGGGUGAGUAACGCGUAGGUAACUACAUAUUAGACGGGGAUAACUAUUGGAAACGAUAGCUAAUACCGCAUCCUAGUAGAUGUACCUGCGUUGUAUUAGCUAGUAGGAUGGGUAAUGGCCUACCUAGGCAACGGUACAUAGCCGACCUGGGAUGGUGAUGGGGCACACUGGGGCUGAGGCACUGCCCAGACGCCUACGGGAGGCAGCAAUAAGGAAGCUGCGGAAAUGGGGGGAACCCGUGCCGAGCAACGCCGCGUGAGUGAAGAAGGAUUUCGGAUCUUAAAGCUCUGUUGUUAAGGGAGCGGUACUUAACCAGAAAGUGACGGCUAACUACGUGCCAGCCGCCGCGGGAAUUC